UACGUAGGGGGCAAGCGUUGUCCGGAUUUAUUGGGCGUAAAGAGCGUGUAGGCGGCCAUUCAGGUCAGCUGUGAAAACUCGAGGCUCAACCUCGAGACGUCGGUUGAAACCGUUUGGCUAGAGUCCGGAAGAGGAGAGUGGAAUUCCCGGUGUAGCGGUGAAAUGCGCAGAUAUCAGGAGGAACACCGGUGGCGAAGGCGGGUCUCUGGGCCGAUACUGACGCUGGAGGAGCGAAAGCGUGGGGAGCGAACAGG
rnacentral:rRNA from 1 species